AGCGAACGCUGGCGGCAGGCCUAACACAUGCAAGUCGAACGGGCACCUUCGGGUGUCAGUGGCAGACGGGUGAGUAACACGUGGGAACGUGCCCUUUGGUUCGGGACAACUCCGGGAAACUGGAGCUAAUACCGGAUACGCCCUUUUGGGGAAAGAUUUAUCGCCGAAGGAUCGGCCCGCGUCUGAUUAGCUAGUUGGUGAGGUAACGGCUCACCAAGGCGACGAUCAGUAGCUGGUCUGAGAGGAUGAUCAGCCACACUGGGACUGAGACACGGCCCAGACUCCUACGGGAGGCAGCAGUGGGGAAUAUUGGACAAUGGGCGCAAGCCUGAUCCAGCCAUGCCGCGUGAGUGAUGAAGGCCCUAGGGUUGUAAAGCUCUUUUGUCCGGGAAGAUAAUGACUGUACCGGAAGAAUAAGCCCCGGCUAACUUCGUGCCAGCCGCCGCCGUAAUAC
rnacentral:rRNA from 1 species